rnacentral:tRNA from 1 species
GGGCGGUUAGCUCAGCUGGUCAGAGCGUCUGCCUUACAAGCAGAAGGUCAUCCGUUCGAGCCGGAUACCGCCCACCA